rnacentral:tRNA from 1 species
GCCGCUCGCGCCCGGCAGGACGGGCACCGGACUCUUAAUCCGGCGUGGCGGGGUUCGAGUCCCCGGGGCGGUA